AGAACGAACGCUGGCGGCAGGCUUAACACAUGCAAGUCGAACGCGUGUAGCAAUACACGAGUGGCGCACGGGUGAGUAACGCGUGGAUAUCUGCCUUUUGGUUCGGAAUAACCCCGGGAAACUGGGGCUAAUACCGGAUGGUUCCUACGGGAUAAAGAUUUAUCGCCAAAAGAUGAGUCCGCGUACGAUUAGCUAGUUGGUGAGGUAAUGGCUCACCAAGGCGACGAUCGUUAGCUGGUCUGAGAGGACGAUCAGCCACACUGGGACUGAGACACGGCCCAGACUCCUACGGGAGGCAGCAGUGGGGAAUAUUGGACAAUGGGCGAAAGCCUGAUCCAGCAAUGCCGCGUGUGUGAAGAAGGUCUUCGGAUUGUAAAGCACUUUCGACGGGGACGAUGAUGACGGUACCCGUAGAAGAAGCCCCGGCUAACUUCGUGCCAGUAGCCGC
rnacentral:rRNA from 1 species